UCUUUUGAGUAUUGCUUUAAGAACUGAAAAGGAGGAAAGAGAUGACUCUGACAAAUCCAGGGCAUUUCUAAAUAAGCAUGAAUUGGAUUAUAAUAGGCUCAGUGAGAGAGUGAGAAUAUGCUGGAAUACUUUUUAUUCAGCAGAGCUCAUCUGGGUCCUGACAGGAAUUCCGGGACACAGACUCUCUCCAGUGGAUCUCUGAAUUUAUGCCUGUAGUAGACUGAUUAAGGAUUGAUACGGUUAUCAUCAUAUCAGUGGAGUGAUGUGAUUAUCACCUCAGCUUCUUCAGUCUGAAGUUAUAGAUCCCAGAAGCCAUGUAUUCUGUUUUUGUGGGAUAUUGUCUGGAUGUGGGCCCUGAAUGAAUGUCCCUCUGGUGGAAGGUACCCUAGAUGAAUAGAAAAGCCUGCCUUUUGUCAGGGAUUAUAAUCAGGAAGAUGAAAGUUUCCUCUGUAAUACCAUUUUUGCUUCUACUUCCAGGAUGCUGGCAAUUAUAGACCAGGACAGAGAAUGGGGACAUGAAUAAUGGAGGUGCCCAACAUUAGCACAACACUCUAUCCAUCACUGCCAAAGGGCAUAAGGAGAGACAUUGCCAUUUUCAACAGGGAGUAUAUAAUGCAUGAAAAGAGGAAGAGCCGCCUGUGAUAAGGCAGCCGUGGACGGCCUGUCCCACUGCUGUCAGUCUGCUGGGAAGUAGGAAGAGGCCGUGCUUGCACUGUGUGCUCAAUCCUCUCGGCCACACUCAGCUGCUGGUGGAGCAGAGCUGUAGUCAGUCCAAACCUGUUUGGGGGCCCAUGUGGUUAAAGGCACAAAUAAAGUUGCUAUGAACAUUCUCA
rnacentral:lncRNA from 1 species